UCUCCCCAAUCCUGGGAACCUUUAAACCUCUCACCAAUAAACUAUUACACAAAAUCUAAACCAUACAAAAAACAUUCACUAUCUACCCCAAACUCCCAAAAACCGCAAGGGACAAUUAAAAUAUUUACAAGUAGUAAUUCUAUACGUACCUUUUGCAUCAUGGCUUAACAAAACCAAAUGUAAACCAAUAACCCCGAAAAUUGUGCGAGCUAUAAAAUAUUUGUUAAGAACUCACCUAUUUCUAUGUCACCAGAACAGGAAAAAUAUUCUAUAGAGGCUACAUACCUUCCGCGCCAAUUUAUAGCUGGCUUUUCACUAACUCUGUCUAAGCAGAAAAAUUAGGUAUAACAGACCUAAUUUUACAAAGGAAAGGGGCAAAGCCUUUUCCUAAAAUCUACCUUCUUCAUAUAAAAAUUAUGCGUAGGCCUACCAGCAGCCCUCGAAAAACAGAGCGUUACCGCCCCCAUAAAUAAAAAUAAAUAGAAACCAUAGUGACCCACAAAGUGAAAUAUAAGAUCCAACACAUGAUCUUACAAACACUGUUAAGACUAGUAUUGAAAUAUAUAAAAAUCCCUUUACUUAAUAUCUCUUUAAGGAACUCGGCAAAAAAUUUUUCCGACUGUUAACAAAAACAUUGCCUGUUGAAAUACAAAUUUCAGGUAAUUCCUGCCCAAUGAAAAUUUUAAAUGGCCGCGGUAAACCGUGCAAAGGUAGCAUAAUCAUUUGCCUCUUAAUUAGGGGCUGGCAUGAACGGAUUAAACGAGAAAAAAGCUGUCUCAAAGAGAACACUAAAACCUAUCCUUUAGGUGAAAAGACCUAAAUAAAUAUAGAAGACAAGAAGACCCUAUCGCGCUUUAUUUACACUUUCGCCCUCAAGAGAAAGAAAAAUUUGGUUGGGGCGACCCAUGACACCCAAAAACGUCUAUCACCUAUAAGACUUACAAGUCUACUUAAUGACCCUAUUAAGAUUAAAGAACAAGUCACCGUAGGGAUAACAGGCUAAUCCCCUCCUAGAGCCCAAAUCGACGAGGGGGGUUGGCACCUCGAUGUUGGCUUAGGGCAUCCUUUAGAUGUAGCCGUCUAAAAAGGCAGGUUUGUUCAACCUAAUCCGCCCUACAUGAGCUGAGUUCAGACCGGCGUAAGCCAGGUCGGCUUCUAUCUCUAUAACGAAAAUUAUUAAAUAGUAGUACGAAAGGACCCUAACAUAAUUAAAAAUUAAUGAAACAAGAAACCAUAUAAAUUCAAAUAAAUCGUUCCAAUAAAAUA
rnacentral:rRNA from 1 species